UUCCCAGUCUGUCCCUACCUACCCCCUUCCCCCUGGCAACCACAAGUUUGUAUUCUAUGUCUUGUGUCUCUUUCUGUUUUAUAUUUAAGUUCAUUUGUAUUCUUUUUGUAUUUUUGUUUUCAAAACUAACAUGUGUUGAGUGUAGAACCCCUGCAAAAUAUGGAAAAGAACAAACUAAGUUAAAUUGUGAGCUAAUUUUAAAUACUUCAGGCAAACUUCUUGUGUUAAGUUAUGAGUAAUGAGAUUCCUGUAUUAAAACCAAAGUUAUUAGUAUAUUCUAAAAGGGGAGAUUUUAUCCUUAAGUAUUACUUGUGCACAUUUGUUAGUGUUUUUUCAUCCCAGAAAUAAAUUAGUUGUAGCUCUAGACACAGAGGAGCAGAUUUAGAUCUUGAAAAUUAGGCAUUGCACCUAUGUGAAUGCUUGCUGUAUGACUUGGGGUCAUCCACUGUAAAUAUUUGAAGCCACAAAAUUUCUCUGAAUCUCUCAUGCCACCUACUUUUGUUCCAUAUUUGAUAAUAGUCACCCUUGCUUAAUUUUUACUGUUCCGCAAAGGAAUUCUUUUACAAGGUAGUUUCCAGUCUCCUAGGACUCACUUUUCUCCUGGUACGUGUGUGAUAGAGUUUAACAGAUGCUCGUUCCUAGUGCGCGCUGUAAGCGCCGUCCUCUAAUCUACUCUGUCCCCUGUCAAAAGAUUGAAAACACAAUGUAUACGUUACAUAUUAAGCCAGAAAUAAUCAAUUUACAUUUAAGAGUUUGUGUUUUGUGUGCUAUUCUGAGAGGUUUUGGUAAUCCCUGUGAUUAAAGAACCAUGAGAUUUACGUUUGCCGUGGAGAAACGUGAUCAUCCUGGCUGCUAUGAGUCACUCUGGAAGCAUCCCAUCUCUGCUUCCCGAUUACUCAGAUCACUAGAUCAAAUUCAGUUCGGUUUAAUAGACAGGAAACACCUUUCAUGGUCUGAAAAAGUUUACAGUGAUAUAGAAGAAGCAAGCAUAUAAACAAUUAUAGUGCAGUGUGAUAAGUACAAUGAUACGUUACAAGAUUUAGAAGAGGAGGUGAUUAACUUUAGAGUUGGACAGGCUUCAAGAAGUCCUAAUAGAAGAAGUAAUGUUUAACUAGUUUAUGAAAAGUGUUUGAAUUCAGUACUCAGUAUGAAAGGGUGGCCCAGAGAAGGGAAAGCUGUGCCCUGUAGAUAGUUCACCACAGCUGAUGACUCUAGUGUGACACACUGUGACAAGAGAAGUGCAGGAGAGGUAGGUAUUGGCCAGACUGCUCAGGGCCAUGGGUACCAUGCUAUCGAACAUGAAACCUGUGCAGGGUGAGGAGCCAGGACAGGGUUUUAAGCAGGGGUGGUGUGAUCUUUCUGAAAUCCAAGCCUGAUCAUUUAGUGACCAUGUGGAGGAUGUUUGGGAGAGUGGAGAAACUGGAGGCAGUUAGGAGGCCUGAACUGAGGCAGUGGCAAAUGCAUUUGGGGUGGGUAUAUUUGAGAAGUAGGUAUGUAGGAGAAUUGACAGGACUUGAUUAAUUUCAUAAUUAAAUGAAAGGGUACAAGGCCUUAAUCAUUAUUUAGAAAAACGUUAACUAUAUUUUUUGUAUUGUUGACAUUUAAGCUCAUUUAAACAUCAGAUUGGCUCAGAAAAGACAUCGGGAGAUUUGUGAAUGUGGCAAGAAAAAAACAUUAAUUACAUUUUUAAUGAAGGUAACAUUUUGAAAGCAUGAAAUAAAUCAUUGACUAAAAUGUCAUAGGUCUGCAAUUUGAAUUUAGAUUUACAGGCCUGAUUUGCAGUAAUUUUCAUAUAACAAUGGUUUCGAUAGAUUAAAAAAAAUGUAAAACACUAGCUAUAGCACCUUUGACAUGGAAUAUCCUAUAGUUUUAAAAAUCACAGUUGUAUUUUCUAUUAUUCUAUGCUUGAGCUUUUGUUGUAAAACUCUUGUCUGUCAAUAUAUAAACCAUGCUGAAUUCCUGAAUCAAAGAUUUUAGAAAGAAUUUAGCAGUGUUCAUCAUGUAAUCUGCUCACUAGAGAAAACCUAACCCACUCUGCUGGUGAUAGAAAAUGGAAUUUUCAGGUCAUCUGAGGGAUCACUUUCUAUUAAAGAAGAUUUUUAAUCCUUACUAGUAAAUAAAAGUUAUUUAUAAACAUAGUGUCUUAAUUCCUUUCACAAGUAUUUUCCAGAAUCAAAGAUUCCUCUUUUUUCACCACCUUGUUAUAGAAUAACUCAACCAUAUUGGUUUUUAAUGUUGCUUUUAUGGUAAACAGGUUCACUUUUCUGAAAAGCCUUGCACUCAUCAGGAAGCAUUUAUUGAGUGUCUAUUUGUAGAACACUAUUCUGGCCAUCCUGGGAAAUAAACUUCUCAAGGGCACGUUUAUAAUCCAGUUGGAGAGACAAAAUAGACCUGUGAACUAAUAGGUAUUUAGUGGUAAACAAUUGAAUAAACAUUGAGGGAAUGCAGGGAAAAGAAAGGAUCAAAAGAGAAAAGAUUUCCUAGAAGUGAGUUUUAAAUAGCACUUACAGAAAAUGUCUUUUAAAAAUCAAGAUAUUUUAUUUCAAAUAUACAGUUAUUUGAAGUGAGGUUCCAACAGAUUCUUCACUGAGAAUGUCUCCUUAACAUCAAGAACAGAAAGGGCCUUUUUAUCACCACUUCCAUUAAAUCAUUUUGGACAAGGACUAGGGACAAAGUAGAGACCUUACUUUGGGAGCUCUGUGUUCCAUGUGGCUAAAUUUUCAUGGAGUCCUGAGUUUCCACAUGGCUUCUUAACCUUUUAUUGUGCUGUUAAUAAUCCCUUUGGCAGUUUGGUAAAGCCUGUGAAUCCCUUUUCAGAAUAAUGUUUUAAAGUUAAUGACAUAUCUAUUAUGUAUCAAUCAAAGGUUGUGAUACCUUCACGUGUAUGCUUUUUUAACACAUUAUAUAACAAUAUCUAGGGCAAUAAUAACUACCAAAAUAUGUAGUGAUAAAUGUAAAUGAUACUUUGAGAUAUUUGCAACAACAUAACAUGACUUGUGUGUGUCUGAUUUCUAUUGGUGAUGAACCCAUCACUGCUGCUGAUACUACUGUGUUAUGGCCUAUAUUCAUAGUUGAAAGAACUAGUAGGUUUCAUGUAGUGGUUAGUUAAAAUGAAAGUGUAAUUUUUUUAUGGGUCCUCUGAAUUCUUUCCUUGAAUCCCUUGGAGGUCCAAAGACCCCUGAUUAAAAAACACUGUAGGUUAGCAAUUCCUGAGAAGCCCCAGGAAGUAAGAGUCAAUGAAUAGGGCUCACCUCCACUUCAGAGAAACUGCUUUUAUAUUGUUUUAUAUAUUUCAUGUAAGAUUUCUCUUGGAAUAAAAAUGGCUUCUGGGGCUAAAUGUGUAAUUUUGAAAACAAUUGUAAAUGAAAAAAAUGGAUUCCUUAUCUUGCUUUUUUAACUUAAAACUUAUUUCUUUUGUAAACAUUCUCAGCACAUUAGUGUACCAUCAAGUUUCUAACCUGGAAAAUAGAGAUUUAGAAGUCAACAGGAUAUGAUGGAAGGCAUGAAACAUCAGUAAGAUUGCUCAGCAAUAAUCUGUGCGAGGGUAGCCUGAGACGAGGAGCAGGCCAAGGAGUAGGCAGAAGAGAAGAAUGGAAAGAAGACAGAAGGAGUUGUCAGAGAGGUAGGAGGUAACAUUACACAACUCCUAUAAUGUUAAAGAAGCAAAAGGUGUCAGUGCUGCAGAGAUGUCACAUCCAAUGACAUAAAAGAAUCCACCGAACUCAGCCAUAAGGAGAAAUGUUAAGUAGUAUCUGAGGCUGCAAGCUUCGCAUCACGAUAAGACAAGUGGGAUCUAAGUAAAGAUUCAUGGACCUUACUUUCUGCAGUAUUCUUGGACCAAAGGCAGUGGAACUAGAGCUCUUCCUGAUAGCCCUUGAGGAACCUGCAAGGAUCUAGCAAGAAGAGGUCCUUUUGAGGAGUUUUAUAUCUUGUGACUCCACUGCAGCUCUGUGAUGGAGAAAUGAAGUCAUCAAGUCAUCAAUACUGAAAUGUAACAUAGAAAUAAUUUAAUGUAAUAUAUGCACUGCUAUUGUUCUGGGCAUGGAGCAAAAUCAAACUGAUCUCUGCAUCUCUCCCUCUAGGAACUCAUGUUAAAUAUGGGUAAAAGGAAGUGUGCUAAGCUUUAGUUCAACAAUCUUUGGCUUCCAAACAGAAUCCUCUAAUUUUUGAGGGGGGUGGCGGUGGUAAUUAGGUUGGUUUGUUUGUUUGUUUAUAAUGGAGUUACUGAGAAUUGAACUCAGGACCUCAUGCAUGCUAAGCAUGCGCUCCACCACUAAGCUAUACCCCUCUCCACCCAGAAUUCUUCUAAAUAGAAUUAAAGGUACUGAUAUGAAUCAGUUAAUCUGCAUGUGCUAUGGGGUCUGGGUUCUGUAGAUUAUCAUGUCACUUCUUCUCUUGGUCCUCAGACAAGUCCAAGAUUAGCUGGUUCACUAUUGGGGCUGAGUCCCAGGUCUGAAUCCUGGGGAAUUGGGAGUUGAUUGUUUCUCUAAGAGUAAUUUUCAUCUCUGGAACGUUAGCCUUUCCACCUUCAACCUGCUGAGACAUGACUUUUAUUUUCUUGACCUUCUAGAUAUGGUGUCUGUGUUGCUUGCUUGCUUAUUAAUUUAUUUAAAUAAGAUGUGGUUUGCUUUUUUUAACUCCUAAAUUACAGGAAAGGAUCAAGGAGUAAUGAGAUUGACAAAUUUAUUUUGUUCAUCUGAUUUGGCCCAUUAACUGAAGUCAAUAACUUUUAAUCUAGAAACUUAAUGGAAAAAAAUAUUUGCAGAUAUUUAUGUAACCUUGGAAGAGGUAGAGUCUUUCUUGGUAUUAUUACUAAAAUAGAAGCCUAAUGAUGGAUCUAAGUACACUAAAUUUAAAAACUUGUGCAUGCCAACAACAUUAUAACCUAAAAUUAAAAGGCAAAGUUAACUUAAAAUAUAUCUUUAUCAUCCCAAAAAGGACUUUUAGUCUUAAUGUAUAAAGAGUUUUCAAAAGCAAUAGUAAAAAUAUAGGCUAAGAACAGAAAUAGAUAA